GUAACAGCUCAAAUUUGAAAGCUAGCUCUUUUAGGGUUCGCAUUGUAAUUUGUAGAAGAUGCUUCGGGUGUGGCCCCGGUCUAAGUUCCUUGGAACAGGACGUCAUAGAGGGUGAGAAUCCCGUAUGGGAUGGGGUGUCCGCGCCCGUGUGAAGCUCCUUCGACGAGUCGAGUUGUUUGGGAAUGCAGCUCAAAAUGGGAGGUAAAUUUCUUCUAAAGCUAAAUACUGGCCAGAGACCGAUAGCGCACAAGUAGAGUGAUCGAAAGAUGAAAAGCACUUUGGAAAGAGAGUUAAAAGUACGUGAAAUUGUCGAAAGGGAAGCACUUGAAGUCAGCCAUGCUGC
rnacentral:rRNA from 14 species